rnacentral:tRNA from 1 species
GGGGCAUAGCUCAGUUGGGAGAGCGCCUGAAUGGCAUUCAGGAGGUCAUGGGUUCAAGUCCCACUGUCUCC